rnacentral:lncRNA from 1 species
UCAUCGUUUAUAUUGUUUAUAACAUCGUCAGUUUUUAUAUGCAUUUAAUAUUUUUAAAAAUAGUUCAAAAGCUGUCAAAAUAAAAUGGUGAAUUGAGUUUAAACCAGAAAAGAUAUAAACGUAAUCUUUGGGAUUCAACUUGUAAGGAUGUUCCAAGAACCACUUAGUUGGAGAAGGAAAACUGUGCCGUUCAUUAACAAGUCCUGUGCUUUAUAAUAUAUUAAAAAAUGGAAGGACGUGAAGAAAACAGGUUUGUAAAUGAUGUUGUACAUCAUGCAGAUAGCUCAGAAGAAGAAGUAAGUUUUUUUUUUAAUUACAAAAGUAAAUAUAUAAUAUAAUAUUUGUUGCUGCCUUGUUCUAUAUAAAUGUUUCUAACAUGCAGGUAACAUUUAUAUAUGUAUUAGUUUGAAUAAAUCAUUUUAAUAAAGUUACAUUAUAGGCAGGAAUGUUUGACUGGAAAUAUAAACGAUGUUGUACAUAAUGCAGAUAGCUUAGGCAAAAAAGAGAUUGGUGAAAUGGAGAAUGAGACUAACUAGGGUGAAAAAAAAUGAAUAUUAAUAUGUGAAUGGUACUUUGUUUAACAUCUACCUGUUUCUACAGAUACAGUACAGACGCAUUUAUAAAUGGGCUUGAUGUUUUUUUGAAUUAAAUAUGUUGUAUUGAUGGUUCUUUUUAACUUGUUAAAACUUGAAGUUAUUAUCAAAUUUAUAUAUACUAUUUUUAUCAAAUAGUUAAUAUAAAAUAAUAAACAUGUAAAUUGUUUUAUUUUUUGUAAAAAUUGUUUUCUUGAUAAAUUUCAAUUGUUUAUCACUAUGUAUAUCACUUAUAGUAUUACAUUACUUGUAAUUUUUUGUUUUAUUUAUUUUCAGUAUGUUAUACAUAUGCGUGAAUUAAAUAUUGUGGGGAAGUCAAGUUUUGAUGUUUUAGGUGCAUUAUAGCUAUUAUUUUUCAAAGAUUUGUAGGAUUUAACAAGAUUUAAA